rnacentral:rRNA from 1 species
UACGUAGGGGGCGAGCGUUGUCCGGAAUCAUUGGGCGUAAAGAGCUCGUAGGCGGUGUGUCGCGUCGGCCGUGAAAACCUGGGGCUCAACUCUGGGCGUGCGGUCGAUACGGGCAUCACUUGAGUUCGGCAGGGGAGACUGGAAUUCCUGGUGUAGCGGUGAAAUGCGCAGAUAUCAGGAGGAACACCGGUGGCGAAGGCGGGUCUCUGGGCCGAUACUGACGCUGAGGAGCGAAAGCAUGGGUAGCGAACAGG